rnacentral:lncRNA from 1 species
UUGUGUGUGACAUGCUGGCGUCGGGAUUAUGUUUCCAGUUAGGUUGUCCCAAGUAUCUGCAGACUGGGUGGCCCAUGCGGGGUUUCUCAGAAAUAAGAAUAUGGCAAUUGGACCUGAAGGAAAAUGAUGUCUCUACAAUUAAUCAUCAUAGGGUUUGGAAGGCCCAAGAAGAAAACUAGGUGAGUUUUACUUAGUCCUAAUUAUAUGAGUCCUAGAAAUUAAAUGUUGUAGUGAUAAUGAAAGGUCUGUUCAUGUUGUACAACUACAAGAUGUAACAGGUAACUACUCAUACAUGGGAAUAGAUUUACCAAGGUUGGGCUUAAAGGCAUAUGAUUCUUUGGCCUAGAAACUUGGCCAAGAGAGAUUAAGAUUGUGAUGAGGA